GUGCUCGCUUUGGCAGCACAUAUACUAAAAUUGGAACGAUACAGAGAAGAUUAGCAUGGCCCCUGCGUAAAGUUUAAAAUUUGGCAAAUUUAGUCCUCUCUCUUUCGU